UAGCCUCCAGUUUGAAACUCGUUUCAGCACCCAGACCUAAAUGAAGCUCCAUGAUGGAAACACAAGACCCUGAAAGAAAAAGGUUGCAAUCAAAGAGACAAACUUAUGCAUCUUCAAAAAUGGAGGCAUUGUAUAGUCUGUUUCUCCAUGAAAGUAUUAAAUGUAAAUUUGUACAAACAAUCAAAGAUAAAUCAAUAUGGUAAACAAUCCAAAGGGAUCAUGAUUGUGGUGAUGCCAGGAAGCUGUGCUUUUGGUAAAUGUAAUACCUUUGGGGAACAAAGCCAGCAAUUGUCACUGAAAUGAUUAAAUAAGUGCACUUCUCUGGUCCAGUCUCCAUUUUUGUGUGUAGUAGUAGUUUGGCAAACCUAUAAUAGCUACAUUACUCAUUUCAACCAAAUCAGCAGACUUCAUUUACUUGUUCUUCAACAUAGACUUGUUUUUCUUUUGGAAAGAAUAGAAUGUACUUAAAAGGGGGGAAGACAAAGCAGGGAAAGAAGAUUCCUUCCAAUUUCAUAUUCAUCUGUCCCUGAGAUAUAGGAAAACAAGGACCUAACAGGUGCUUCAAGUUGAACAUGGUUAUCAAUCAUGCCACAUGUCCACAUACUAAAUCAUUCUGGUCAAUGGUCAUCAGAUAAUAUAAGACAAAACUCCCUUUCUUCUCGGUGCUUAUAUCCAUUCAUUAACAAUCUGACAUUUCUCCUUUCAUUCUGUUUUUCAGUCUCUUCCUCUCUGUUCCUUUGUCAUUCAUCAUCUGUUAGAUUUUGGUUUGGUUGUGUUUGGAUACAAAACAUGAGUUCUGAAUCGCAAACACAUAUCCUUGGAAAUAUAACAUAUAUAUGCCAGUAUCCAGAUGAGACUAUAUCGAUAAAUUCAAAGGGUGCGUUAUUGGGGGAUAACCCUUUGAGCUACUCUGUACCUCUCCUCAUGUUGCAGCUCUCUAUUAUUUCCCUACUUUGCUCUGCCACCAAUUACUGUCUCAGACCCCUUGGGCAAUCUUCCGUUGUUACACAGAUACUUGUAAGUUUCUUUUUGCGCUUAUUUUGUUCACAAACGUUAAUGUUCGUUGGGGCUUAAGAGAUCAAAUUUACUAUAUAGAUUUCAAUACACAAAAUACUAAUGGGACACUGCGAAUCUGUUAUUCAUGAAAACAGGCAGGUAUAAUCCUCGGGCCUUCGCUUAUGGGCCACAAUGAAACAUUCUCUAACAAUAUAUUCCCAAGAAGCAGCCACAACACACUGGAAACAAUUGCGUCAUUUGGCGUGAUGUUCUUCCUAUUUCAAACAGGAGUAAAGACAGAUACAGGCUUGGUAAAGCAACAUGGACACAAGAGCAUAGUUAUAGGUGUUUUCGUGUUCUUCUUUCCAUUGGUAAUUGCAGUAUCACUGGCAUUGGUAUUAAGACAUUUGGUAGAAAUGGACAAAAGUCUAGCAGGAGCUCUACCCAUGAUCGCUGGAUCAUUGUCAUUUACAGGCUUCCCAGUUAUAUCUUGCCACCUGACGGAGCUCAAGAUGAUCAACACGGAGCUUGGCCGUCUUGCAAUAUCUUCAUCUCUGAUUACUGACUUAUUUGGUAUUUCCAUGACAGCUGUUAGUUUGGCAUUACAGCAAAGCCAGAGUGACCCACUAGAUGCAAUUCUAGGGAUAGCUUCAACAAUUGCGAUGGUGGCCUUCAUAGUGUGGGUUAUCCGACCAAUGGCAAUAUCGAUGAUUAAACACACUCCAUUAGGAGAGUCUGUGAAAGAAUUGCAUAUUUUUUCCAUCUUCAUAGCAAUACUGGUUGUCGGGUUUGUCAGCGAGAGCAUAGGGCAACACUUUAUUUUGGGACCAUUAGUUUUAGGCUUAGCCUUGCCAGAUGGACCUCCAUUAGGUGCAGAGCUAGUAGAAAAGCUCGAGGCUUUUGUUUCUUAUGUUCUCUUUCCAACAUACCUUGCUGUCAGCGGAUUGAAGACAAACGUGUAUACUAUAAAACUGAGGUCCAUCUGGAUCAUGGCAACUAUUGUCAUUUUCGCUUUCUUGGUGAAGGUUGUGGCUGCUAUGUUACCUUGUCUUUACUGCGACAUGCCGUGGCGGGAAGCUUUCGUCCUUGGUCUCACAAUGAACACCAAGGGAAUUGUUGAACUUCUUCUUUAUAAUGUUUGGAAGAACAGCAAUGUAAGCACUUCAUCCUCCACAAACAUUUACUUGAUCGAUAGGUCUAUAAGAUAUGCCUCUGUCUGUCUGUCUGUCUCUGUCUCUCUCUCUCUCUCUCUCUCUCUCUCUCACACACACACACACACACUCGUACACUUGAAAUUCAUUAAAAACUCUAAACCUUUUGUUACUUGUCAUGACAGAUUUUGCAGGACCAAGAAUUUGCACUUUCAGUUUUCUCAGUGGUAAUGCUUACUGCAUUCAUAUCACCAUUGAUGAGAAUUCUCUAUGAUCCUUCCAAGAGAUUUGUAUCCUCAAAGAAGAACAGCAUACAACAUGCCAAACACUGUGCAGAGCUUCGCAUACUAGUCUGUGUUCACAAACAAGAACAUGUCCCCAGUAUUAUCAACAUUCUCGAUAUCUCUCAUCCGACGAUAGAGACACCUAUUGCUGUAGUUCUCCUCCAACUCGUGGAGCUUCUUGGUCGCGCUGCUCCUAUCCUUGUAGCCCACCAACCCAAUCAUACUUACAUGUGUGGAAACACCCGUACUCAGAACAUAGUCAAUGCUUUCAAAAUUUAUGAGAUGCAGACCCAAGGUUUAACCUGUGUUCAACCCUUCACAGCAAUUGCACAUUUCGCAACCAUGCAUGACGACAUUUGCAACCUUGCAAUCGAUAAGAGGGUGAACUUUGUUAUCACCCCAUUUCAUAAGGAAUUGGGCAAUGGUAAGGUGAUUUCAGAAAACCGUUCCAUGAGAAAAAUGAAUUGCAACAUCCUAGAAAAGGCUCCUUGUUCAGUGGGAAUCUUUAUAAACCGUAACAUACUUAGUGGUUCACUAUCCAUCAUAAAAAGCCGAGCAUGCUAUCGUGUUGCUGUGCUCUUCAUGGGUGGGAACGAUGAUGGAGAAACACUAGCCUAUGGUGCACGGAUGGCGGAACAUCCACAAGUAAACCUCACAGUCAUUCGAUUUCUGCAAUUUGGAUGUGACAAUGCAAGGGAAAGAAAAUUCGACAAUGACGUUAUAGACGAGUUCAAACGCAAUACUGCACAUAACAAAAGAAUUGAGUAUAGAGAAGAGUUGGUGAGGGAUGGGGAAGGGCUUGCUACAGUGAUAAAGGACUUUGGCAGAAGAUUUGAUCUUAUUAUGGUGGGGAAACACCAUAAAAGGGACUCUCGACUAUUAAGUGGGCUAAAUGAGUGGAAUGAAUGCCCGGAGCUAGGUAUCGUUGGUGACAUGCUAGCCUCACCAGACUUCAAGGGUAUGUGUUCUGUAUUGGUCGUGCAACAGGCCAGAGUAAGACCAAACCUUAAAAAUCGCAGCUCAAGGGAAUUUCCAAUUGAGAAUAGCGUAGCAGUAGUGUAGCACAUGGACAAUUUCCAUGGACAAAAAAAGUUUGAGGUUUGACAGUAACCUCUUACUUACAACUUUUGCUACUAUAGGUCCCUCUCACCCUUUUUUUUUUAGCAUAAACUUUUGUAUAGAACAAUAGAAUGAAUUUUAGAUAUCAUGUUUUCAAUUUUUAGAUUACUUUGUACGUAGUUUGUACUACCGUAAGCAUAAAGCGUAGAGUUGAAAAUGUUGAUAUAGAUUACUAGACUACUGGUUGUAGCAUUUUAACAAACACUUUACGGACUUAAUAAGUUUGUUAUACCGGACUAUAAAAGCGCAUUAUAUAUUCAUUUGUAAAAGCAAUCACAAAUAAAGAAUCAAUAAUUGAAACAUCAAACAUAUAAUCCAGCAGCAGUUAAAGAUAUAACAAGCAACAGAUAUUAAUAAAUGAACAUACCUUUGUUUCGCAACCUAUAAAAGCCUAUCGGAUUUGGAAAACGCAAUCCCUGGCAUGAACUUCUUGAAGACUUGAACAUCUCAUACUCAAGGAGAGAGUGUCUUAAAUUCAAAUUUUCAAAUUAUGUUACACAUACACACUACUACUGUACUACACCUUGAGAUAUGUAGUAAAAUACUAGUAAUGUGUAUCUUAAUAAUUUUAGAUCAUUUAAUUUUGACCAAGCAUGCAAUUGAGUAAUAAAAAAGUUUGACCAGCGCUCAUUACUCUCAACCAUAACUAUAGAUCAUGCACGUACAGUGCUCACCGUUGCCUUAGCUUAGUUAUCUCACUUCUCUCUCUCUCUCUCUCUCUCU
rnacentral:lncRNA from 1 species